GCCACCAACCCCUCUCCUUCCUGUGGCUUUUCUAACUGGAACUGGAACUCAGAAAGUACAUUAAUCACCAAUUUGGGAAGCUAUAGGAAAGUAUGUUUUCUAAUAUACAGUGAGAGAAUGUGACUGAUAAAAACCAAUUUUCUUGAGACUUUCUCCCUGGAAAGUGAAUAUAUGUAUUCAUAGGGCCUUCACAAGCACAGACUAACAAGCAAAGAGCUACAUUCACUAGGAAGGAAGACUCAAAAUUUAAAAAUAGAAAAAAAAAUGAUGGCCCAGAAGAGCAAGUUCAGAGUGCUGUUCAUGAGUGAUCCGCAUGGGACCGCGAUGCCUCUGACGUCUGCCAUCCUGGAGAGCAGCAGAGCGUCACUAGCAGCCAAACAGGAAGACAAGUGUUUCACGGACAUAAGAAAUUUAAAGUGGAAGCACUUUCUAGAGCACACAAAACAGCCUCCCUAACACAUGAGAAGUCACCAGCAACACAGAAAUCACCAACAAGUAGGUCACCACAUUUUUAAAGAUCAUAGGAAAUUGUUCACGCCAACAAAUCUCAGUGAACCUCAGCUCUCAGCCUUGAAAACAAGGAUGGCUGUACUACUCACUUUUUUCUUCUUCUUCC
rnacentral:lncRNA from 1 species